rnacentral:rRNA from 1 species
GACGAACGCUGGCGGCGUGCUUAACACAUGCAAGUCGAACGGAAAGGCCCUGCUUUUGUGGGGUGCUCGAGUGGCGAACGGGUGAGUAACACGUGAGUAACCUGCCCUUGACUUUGGGAUAACUUCAGGAAACUGGGGCUAAUACCGGAUAGGAGCUCCUGCUGCAUGGUGGGGGUGGGAAAGUUUCGGCGGUUGGGGAUGGACUCGCGGCUUAUCAGCUUGUUGGUGGGGUAGUGGCUUACCAAGGCUUUGACGGGUAGCCGGCCUGAGAGGGUGACCGGCCACAUUGGGACUGAGAUACGGCCCAGACUCCUACGGGAGGCAGCAGUGGAGAUUAUUGCACAAUGGGCGGAAGCCUGAUGCAGCAACGCCGCGUGCGGGAUGACGGCCUUCGGGUUGUAAACCGCUUUCGCCUGUGACGAAGCGUGAGUGACGGUAAUGGGUAAAGAAGCACCGGCUAACUACGUG